GUGUCAGCAGCCGCGGUAAUACGUAGGGUGCGAGCGUUGUCCGGAAUUAUUGGGCGUAAAGGGCUCGUAGGCGGUUUGUCGCGUCGGGAGUGAAAACACACAGCUUAACUGUGUGCUUGCUUUUGAUACGGGCAGACUGGAGGUAUGCAGGGGAGAACGGAAUUCCUGGUGUAGCGGUGAAAUGCGCAGAUAUCAGGAGGAACACCGGUGGCGAAGGCGGUUCUCUGGGCAUUACCUGACGCUGAGGAGCGAAAGUGUGGGGAGCGAACAGGAUUAGAAACCCUGGUAGUCC
rnacentral:rRNA from 1 species